AUUGAACGCUGGCGGCAUGCUUUACACAUGCAAGUCGAACGGCAGCGCGGGCUUCGGCCUGGCGGCUAGUGGCGAACGGGUGAGUAAUACAUCGGAACGUGCCCAGUAGUGGGGGAUAGCCCGGCGAAAGCCGGAUUAAUACCGCAUACGACCUGCGGGUGAAAGCGGGGGAUCUUCGGACCUCUCGCUAUUUGAGCGGCCGAUGGCAGAUUAGCUAGUUGGUGGGGUAAAGGCCUACCAAGGCGACGAUCUGUAGCUGGUCUGAGAGGACGACCAGCCACACGGGGACUGAGACACGGCCCAGACUCCUACGGGAGGCAGCAGCGGGGAAUGUUGGACAAUGGGCGAAAGCCUGAUCCAGCAAUGCCGCGUGUGUGAUGAAGGCCUUCGGGUUGUAAAGCACUUUUGGCGGGAACGAAAAGGACUGUGCCAAUACCACGGGUCGAUGACGGUACCCGCAGAAUAAGCACCGGCUAACUACGUG
rnacentral:rRNA from 1 species